ensembl:misc_RNA Metazoa_SRP Metazoan signal recognition particle RNA
ACCAGGGUAGGCGGUGUGUCCCUUAGUCCCAGCUACUCGGGAGGUUGCCACCAGAGGAUCGCUUGAGCCCAGGAGUACUGGGCUGUAUUACAGUAUGCUGACAGAGCAGCGGCAGUAAGUUUGGCAUUAACGUGGUGACCUCCAGAGAGCUGGGGACCACCAGUUUGCCCAAGGAUGGGUGAAUUGGCCCAAGUCAGAAAUGGAGCAGGUCCAAACUCCCAUGCUGAUGAGUAGUAGGAACAUACCCAUGAAUAAUAGCCACCGCACUCCAGCCUGGGCAACACAGCGAGACCCUGUCU